AACCCCUGACAACGGGCAAAGCUGCGACUCAUUGGUGGUGGUGUUCUUCUAUCAGUCAGGGGCAGAGCAGAUGGUGUUUUUUGUUCAUCCUGGCUUGAUGACUGGUUCGGUGGCCAAAGCUGUUUCAUGCCUAACAAAAAUAA